GUGGGGAAUAUUGGACAAUGGGCGAAAGCCUGAUCCAGCCAUGCCGCGUGUGUGAAGAAGGUCUUCGGAUUGUAAAGCACUUUAAGUUGGGAGGAAGGGCAGUAAGUUAAUACCUUGCUGUUUUGACGUUACCGACAGAAUAAGCACCGGCUAACUUCGUGCCAGCAGCCGCGGUAAUACGAAGGGUGCAAGCGUUAAUCGGAAUUACUGGGCGUAAAGCGCGCGUAGGUGGUUUUGUAAGUUGGGGGUGAAAUCCCCGGGCUCAACCUGGGAACUGCCUCCAAAACUGCAUGACUAGAGUACAGUAGAGGGUAGUGGAAUUUCCUGUGUAGCGGUGAAAUGCGUAGAUAUAGGAAGGAACACCAGUGGCGAAGGCGACUACCUGGACUGAUACUGACACUGAGGUGCGAAAGCGUGGGGAGCAAACAGGAUUAGAAACCCUUGUAGUCC
rnacentral:rRNA from 1 species